rnacentral:rRNA from 1 species
UGGCCGCCUCCUAUAAUGCAGUCGAGCGCAUGAAGUUAUUUGAUCCUCUUCGGAGUUGACGAUAAUGGAAUGAGCGGCGGACGGGUGAGUAACACGUAGGCAACCUGCCUGUAAGACUGGGAUAACUCGUGGAAACGCGAGCUAAUACCGGAUAACACUUUUCAUCUCCUGAUGAGAAGUUGAAAGGCGGCUUUUGCUGUCACUUACAGAUGGGCCUGCGGCGCAUUAGCUAGUUGGUAAGGUAACGGCUUACCAAGGCGACGAUGCGUAGCCGACCUGAGAGGGUGAUCGGCCACACUGGGACUGAGACACGGCCCAGACUCCUACGGGAGGCAGCAGUAGGGAAUCUUCCGCAAUGGACGAAAGUCUGACGGAGCAACGCCGCGUGAGUGAUGAAGGUUUUCGGAUCGUAAAACUCUGUUGUUAGGGAAGAACAAGUACUAUAGUAACUGAUAGUACCUUGACGGUACCUAACCAGAAAGCCACGGCUAACUACGUGCCAGCAGCCGCGGUAAUACGUAGGUGGCAAGCGUUGUCCGGAAUUAUUGGGCGUAAAGCGCUCGCAGGCGGUUCUUUAAGUCUGAUGUGAAAUCUUACGGCUCAACCGUAAACGUGCAUUGGAAACUGGGGAACUUGAGUGCAGAAGAGGAGAGUGGAAUUCCACGUGUAGCGGUGAAAUGCGUAGAGAUGUGGAGGAACACCAGUGGCGAAGGCGACUCUCUGGUCUGUAACUGACGCUGAGGAGCGAAAGCGUGGGGAGCGAACAGGAUUAGAUACCCUGGUAGUCCACGCCGUAAACGAUGAGUGCUAGGUGUUAGGGGGUUUCCGCCCCUUAGUGCUGAAGUUAACGCAUUAAGCACUCCGCCUGGGGAGUACGGCCGCAAGGCUGAAACUCAAAAGAAUUGACGGGGGCCCGCACAAGCGGUGGAGCAUGUGGUUUAAUUCGAAGCAACGCGAAGAACCUUACCAGGUCUUGACAUCCUCUGAACACUCUAGAGAUAGAGUUUUCCCUUCGGGGACAGAGUGACAGGUGGUGCAUGGUUGUCGUCAGCUCGUGUCGUGAG